rnacentral:rRNA from 1 species
CCUACGGGAGGCAGCAGUGGGGAAUAUUGGGCAAUGGGCGCAAGCCUGACCCAGCAACGCCGCGUGAAGGAAGAAGGCUUUCGGGUUGUAAACUUCUUUUCUGGGGGACGAACAAAUGACGGUACCCCAGGAAUACGCCACGGCUAACUACGUGCCAGCAGCCGCGUUAAUACGGAGGUGGCAAGCUUUAUCCGGAUUUAUUGGGUGUAAAGGGCGUGUAGGCGGGAAUGCAAGUCAGAUGUGAAAACUAGGGGCUCAACCAAGAGCCUGCAUUUGAAACUGUAUUUCUUGAGUGCUGGAGAGGCAAUCGGAAUUCCGUGUGUAGCGGUGAAAUGCGUAGAUAUACGGAGGAACACCAGUGGCGAAGGCGGAUUGCUGGACAGUAACUGACGCUGAGGCGCGAAAGCGUGGGGAGCAAACAGGAUUAGAUACCCCGGUAGUC